rnacentral:rRNA from 1 species
UGGAGGCAGCAGUGAGGAAUAUUGCGCAAUGGGGGAAACCCUGACGCAGCAACGCCGCGUGAGUGAAGAAGGCCUUCGGGUCGUAAAGCUCUGUCUUCUCUGACGAUAAUGACGGUAAGAGAAGAGGAAGCCACGGCUAACUACGUGCCAGCAGCCGCGGUAAUACGUAGGUGGCGAGCGUUGUCCGGAAUUACUGGGCGUAAAGGGUGCGUAGGCGGGAUAAUAAGUCAGAUGUGAAAUUCCGGGGCUUAACUUCGGAACUGCAUUUGAAACUGUUAUCCUAGAGUGCAGGAGAGGAAAGCGGAAUUCCUAGUGUAGCGGUGAAAUGCGUAGAUAUUAGGAAGAACACCAGUGGCGAAGGCGGCUUUCUGGACUGUAACUGACGCUGAGGCACGAAAGCGUGGGGAGCAAACAGGAUUAGAUACCCUGGUAGU